GAAAUGCGAUACGCAGUGCGAAUUGCAGAACCGCGAGUCAUCAGAUCUUCGAACGCAUCGGCGCCAGCAAUUCCUGGCAUGUUCGCUUCAGCGUGUCCGGUCAUCAGAACGAUGUGAUGGAGGCAUCCUUCACAGAGAAAGCUGACCGUGGGAGUCGCCGAGUGGUCACGGGAGUGACGGCGAUUCCAAAGCGGUGGACGAGAGCACCUGAGUCGAGCAAGAUUACCCGCUGAACUUAA
rnacentral:misc_RNA from 1 species